rnacentral:rRNA from 1 species
UACGAAGGGGGCUAGCGUUGCUCGGAAUCACUGGGCGUAAAGCGCACGUAGGCGGACUCUUAAGUCGGUGGUGAAAUCCUGGAGCUCAACUCCAGAACUGCCUUCGAUACUGAGGAUGUCUCGAGUCCGGGAGAGGUGAGUGGAACUGCGAGUGUAGAGGUGAAAUUCGUAGAUAUUGCAAGAACACCAGUGGCGAAGGCGGCUCACUGGCCCGGUACUGACGCUGAGGUGCGAAAAGC